UAGGGAAUCUUCGGCAAUGGGGGCAACCCUGACCGAGCAACGCCGCGUGAGUGAAGAAGGUUUUCGGAUCGUAAAGCUCUGUUGUAAGAGAAGAACGUGUGUGAGAGUGGAAAGUUCACACAGUGACGGUAACUUACCAGAAAGGGACGGCUAACUACGUGCCAGCAGCCGCGGUAAUACGUAGGUCCCGAGCGUUGUCCGGAUUUAUUGGGCGUAAAGCGAGCGCAGGCGGUUUAAUAAGUCUGAAGUUAAAGGCAGUGGCUUAACCAUUGUUCGCUUUGGAAACUGUUAAACUUGAGUGCAGAAGGGGAGAGUGGAAUUCCAUGUGUAGCGGUGAAAUGCGUAGAUAUAUUGAGGAACACCGGUGGCGAAAGCGGCUCUCUGGUCUGUAACUGACGCUGAGGCUCGAAAGCGUGGGGAGCAAACAGG
rnacentral:rRNA from 1 species